GGCUUUUUGAAGAACAUGGGGGUCGUGCCUUCCCAGUGGGCAUACGAGCCUAAACGGACGCGGUAAAUCGUGCUAAGGUAGCUAAAUUAUGGCCUAUUAAUUGUAGGUCCUGUGAAUGGUUUGACGAGUCCUCGACUGUCUCGAGGUUGUUUUGGUGAACUUGAAUUGAAUGUGCAAAUGCUUUCAUGGGAAAGAAAGACGAGAAGACCCCGUGAAGUUAGAAAUUCCUAUUACAGCGUUAAUCCUCUUUGAUGUUUGUAGAUCAGGCGUUUUAGAACUUUAAUUUUCCAAUACGGCUAGAGUUAGGGGUAUUGGAUGUUUAUAGUUUUUAAGUAGGGGAGUGUGGUUUUGAUGAGUUUUGGCUGGGGCAGCAAAGAGGCAAAACUAGACCUCUUUAGACACACAACGGGUGCGUUACGACCCACAAAAAUGAAUUGUGUGAUUAGCAGAAUGAGUUACUCCGGGGAUAACAGCGUAAUCUUCCUUGAUAGUUCUUAUAGAUGGGCGGGUUGCGACCUCGAUGUUUGGCUCUGGGUA
rnacentral:rRNA from 1 species